GUAGUCAUAUGCUUGUCUCAAAGAUUAAGCCAUGCAUGUCUAAGUACGAGCCGCUAGACGGCGAAACCGCGAAUGGCUCAAUAAAUCAGUUAUGGUUCCCAAGAAUGAUUCAAUCCUACUCGGAUAACUGUGGUAAUUCUAGAGCUAAUACGCGACAAAAACUCCGACGCCGGGUUCUCGGGUCCUUGGCGAAAGAGUGCUUUUAUUAGAUCAAAACCAGUGGCCGUUGGCGGCUCUCGGGCCGCCGGCGGCAACAAUUUUUGGUGACUCUGGAUAACCUCAUGCUGAUCGCACGGCCUCCGCGCCGGCGAUAUUUCUUUCAAAUGUCUGCCUUAUCAACUGUCGAUGGUAGGUUAUGCGCCUACCAUGGUUGCAACGGGUAACGGGGAAUG
rnacentral:rRNA from 1 species